UACGAAGGGGGCUAGCGUUGCUCGGAAUCACUGGGCGUAAAGGGUGCGUAGGCGGGUCUUUAAGUCGGUGGUGAAAUCCUGGAGCUCAACUCCAGAACUGCCUUCGAUACUGGGAGUCUCGAGUCCGAGAGAGGUGAGUGGAACUGCGAGUGUAGAGGUGAAAUUCGUAGAUAUUCGCAAGAACACCAGUGGCGAAGGCGGCUCACUGGCCCGGUACUGACGCUGAGGUGCGAAAGCGUGGGGAGCAAACAGG
rnacentral:rRNA from 1 species